rnacentral:lncRNA from 1 species
AUAUUGCUGUAUCUUUUUAGGGUUUGAAGAAUAAGUACUAUGCCCAAUAGAACAGCAUUUAAUUUGUAUUACAUUUAACAUUGGAUGUGUUCUCACGAUUAUAGAUUAUUUCUGUGUUCACUGUUCACAGCGUUUCAGAAGAUUGUACCUUGAAGCUGGUUUUGGCCAUGCGUGGUGGACCUAUAAAUACUAGAAAAGUUCCCAUGGAAGACCCGCUUAGGGAGAUGGCCAAGUACAUGGACCCCAGUCAAGAUGAGGUCUGGGAGAAGGCCUCCUGCAGCAGACAAGUUCCGUUCUUGGUUUACCGAGAAGGAGACCAGUUGAAUUUCUUUUAUGUAGUAGAUAGGGGAGAUGGCACUUUAACACCAUUAUCUGAAUCUUUAAGCGGUGGUUCUGUGUACAAUUUGUGUACAGAUGAGGAUGGGGAGGUGGACCUUUCUCCUUCUGGGCAAAAGACCACUGAAAAUUCAAUAACUAUGAAUAAGAUGAAGCUGCUGAAGGCGAAGAUGGAGAGCAUGAACCUCGGCAGAAAGGUAACACAGUGCCGGCCAGGCUUUCUCUAGCUUACCCUGGAAGGGCUGGGUCACAGGGGGAGUGGACAAAGCAUUAUGAGGUAUGGAAAUCCUGAUACAUUUUCUUAAGCCAAAACAUGACUGAAGAAGUUGUACUGCACUUAAAAUAAUUUGUAAUUUUUUAAAAUUUCAUAGUGCUAGAACUAUAAAGGAUGAUGAAACAUAGAUUAAUCUUGUAACAAUUACUUCUUAAAAUUCUGUUAAGCCUACGGGGUUCUCUGUGAUAGAGCAGGUGCUCAGCCUGUGCAAGGGCUUGGCUUCAACACCCAAUACUGUCCCCAAAUCCUAUGUUAAUAUUUGCUUAUUAUGGAUAAUAUUUCUGCCUUUAGUAGAUACCACCAGUUUUCAAAAGCAAUUCCAAAAUGAUUAAACCAAUUUGCAUUCUGUCCAGCAGACAGACAAGUGAGACUUGUACCUCUGGUUGGUAUUUGGCAUAUCCUCCUCUUUAUUUUUGCCACUCAGGUUGGUAUCUAGUGGCAUUGCCCUGUAGUCUUGUGAGGCAGCCGACGGCACCGAGCUAAAUCCCCGGCCCCCUGUAUUCUUAACUUGCAUCUCUCUGAUGAUCAGGGAAAUAGAGCAUCUUUCCAUUUCUCUUGGGCCUGUGGAUAUCCUUUUCUGUCAAAUCCCUGAUCAGAUGCUUUUUGUUGUUAUUUUUACAUUUUAUUUAUCCACAUAUCCACCAGUGGAUACUUGUGUUGCUUCUGCAUCUUGGCUGUUGUGAAGAAUGGGGCUAUGAACAUGGGAUGCAAAUACCUCAUUGAGAUCUGGCUUUCAUUUCUUUUAGGAUACACUAGAGGUGAAAUUGCUGGAAAAUAUAGUAUAGUAAUUCUAUUUUUAAUUUUUGGGGGAACCACCAGACCAUUUUCCAUGGUAGCCUUAUUACGUGACAUUUAAGAUGGAUUUUCUUAUUUCUUUAAAAACUGCUUUUAGGGUUCUGAUAGGGAUUGCAUUAAGUCUGUCGAGCUCUAGUAUUGGUGAUAUUGGGUAGUAUUGGUGAUAUCUUUUUGACUAGUGACUUAUUUAGAAGUGGGCUCUAUAGUUUCUAAAACUUGCAAUUUUCCAUACCUUUUUCAUAUUGAUUUGCAGCAUAAUUUUACUGUGGUUGGGGAACAUAAUGAUUUCAGUCCUUUGAAAAUAGGUGAGGUUUGAUUUGUGACUAUGCUUACUGGUCAAUGCUACUGGUACCCUUGAGAAGACUGUAUUUGGUCAUUGUAUAUUAUUCUCUUUAUAUCAGUAGAUCAA